GGGCCUAUAGUCUAGUGGUAGGACUGCUCCUUGGCGUGGAGCGGACGCGGGUUCAAUUCCCGCUAGGUCCA
rnacentral:tRNA from 1 species